CCUACGGGAGGCAGCAGUGGGGAAUCUUGCCCAAUGGGCGCAAGCCUGAGGCAGCGACGCCGCGUGCGGGAAGAAGGCCUUCGGGUUGUAAAUCGCUUUCAGGAGGGACGAAGCCACUCGGGUGAACAGCCCAGAGGGUGACGGUACCUCCAGAAGAAGCCCCGGCUAACUACGUGCCAGCAGCCGCGGUAAUA
rnacentral:rRNA from 1 species